UCUCAUGGCUUAAAACUGACUUUCUCGAGGCAAUUCCCGGGAGCUCUCGCCUGUGGCUCCUUUGAACCAGGACGGGCUGGGAAAAGGCUGUGGAUGUUCGGAUGCUUUCUCACAGAGCAAGAAGGACUCACCCAAGGAACCAUAACUGCAUGGUUGGGAUGGAGACAGAAUGGAUGUCUGUGGUUAAGGGAAGACAGCAUGGGUGUGUGAGUUAAUGGAAAAACCAGAAUCCGUUUUCAGAUGGAAGAAGAGAGAAUCAUUUAUGUCUUCAGGUGAAACAUCUUCAGGAGUGAUGGAG